rnacentral:rRNA from 1 species
AUGUUACUAUACAAUGUAUAUCCGUCUUUAUAUCGGAUUGCUCAACGUCGUGAGGUGUUCGUGGCAACAGUAUUUCACUCUACCCCCCUUAAUAUUCAGUUUAGACGGAUGCUAGCGGGCAAUCGUUGGGAAGAAUGGCUCCAUCUAGUUAGAAGACUGAUGGGGGUUCAACUUUCUCACCAACCCGAUGAAUUAUGCUGGAAGUUGACUAGAUCAGGAGUAUUUUCAGUUAAAUCAAUGUAUAUUGAUAUUAUUAAUUCGAACUCCAUUCCAACUUCCAAGUAUGUCUGGGCUGUCAAAGUCCCUUUAAAAAUUAAAGUGUUUAUGUGGUUUGUCCAUAAACAAGUUAUUUUAACAAAGGACAACUUGCUAAAGCGUAAUUGGACAGGACCUACUAGGUGUAGUUUCUGUGAUCGGGAUGAGACGAUCAAGCAUCUAUUCUUUGAUUGCCCGUUGGCCAAAGUUCUUUGGCGGACGGUCCAUAUUGCUUUCAAUAUUACUCCACCGAAUUCUGUCAACGCAUUAUUUGGGACAUGGCUGAAUGGGGUUGAGCCUGACUUAGCACGACAUAUUUGGGUUGGAGUUUGCGCUAUGUUGUGGACUAUCUGGAAUUGCAGAAAUGAUUUGGUUUUUAAUAGAACAUCACAGAUUCAUUUUUUGCAGGUUAUUUUCCGAGCUACAGCAGUCAUCCGUUCGUGGUCGCUACUCACUCCGAUGGAGGCCAGGGAGCAUUUGGUUACUGGAUCCAUCCGUUGGGAGAUGGUAGCUCGGGAUAUCUUCAACCGGUUUGGAUGGCGGUCAUGUAAUAGGAUAGGCAAUUAG